CCGCGCUAUGCGGGGAGUUAGCGAUGCCCUGUAUCCGCAAUUCGCUUAGCGGAGCAGAAUGCUUUUUCGAGGUUCGGUCUGUGGAAGGCAGGACUUUGCGUGGAGCGUUGAUGCCGGGGUCUUAUGCAACGGGUACUUGCGAACCGUGUCAGAGCAGGAAUGCAGCAGCACUAAACAAAUCUAUUCGUGUGCCAUAAGGUAGCUUCGGCGGAGCCACCUGCAAGGAUACC
rnacentral:SRP_RNA from 1 species